GAUGCUAGUAUUUUCUUAGAGGAGCUUGCCAGCCCUCUGCGAUGCGAUGGAGACAGUGACACGGGAGGCGAAAGAGAAGUGUGAAUACCUCUGUCGCCCUCGGGUUUGUGCUUUCUUUGUUGCCCUUCUGUUCUCACCUAGCCAGAGAUGAACAUCUGCGUUCACAGCUAUCGCAAGACACUGCUGCUUUGCUGACUGGCAGGAAGUGCCAAUGUGAAACGGGUGUAACCUUCUUCUCCAGUUUGCCCUCGGAAAGUACAUGAAACACAUCGGCCCUUGUUGCUUCCAUAAGCUGAAAGGAGUUUGUGAUUCCAAGUCUACUCUGCUCACAGCACGACAUGCCCUGGGUCAGCCCCAGCAAUAAUGUUUUUAAACAAUAUUAGGUUAUUCUUGGCAAUCAAUGAUGACAUUUUCUACCAAUCGGGAUAUGAGAAAAACUUCUAAUAAUAAGAAGUGAUAGAAUAACAGAACUGGAGACCGAAAUACUCUCAAACGCAGAGGCUAGUUACACCGUGGGGGUAGAGGGAAGCUGAGACAAGUCCCGGGUAUGAUUUGUCUUAAGAGUUUAACCCAAACACACUGUUAAUUCCACACUUGGGGAGUCCAAGUCUAAUUACUCAGUACUCAAGAUCCUCACAGUAGUAGGCAAGGCAAUUGCUGCGUUUGUAUUUUUCUCUGCUCCUAUUUGUGAUCAAACAAUUCAAUACUUAGAAACUGAAAUCAUUUACAAAUCCGAUGCAUGAAUAACUUACCAAAUUCUGGGUUACUAUUCUGUGUAUGUAUA